UACGAAGGGGGGCUAGCGUUGCUCGGAAUGACUGGGCGUAAAGGGCGCGUAGGCGGCUUGCACAGUCAGGCGUGAAAUUCCUGGGCUCAACCUGGGGACUGCGCUUGAGACGUGUGGGCUUGAGUGGGGAAGAGGGUCGUGGAAUUCCCAGUGUAGAGGUGAAAUUCGUAGAUAUUGGGAAGAACACCGGUGGCGAAGGCGGCGACCUGGUCCUUGACUGACGCUGGAGGCGCGAAAGACGUGGGGAGCAAACAGG
rnacentral:rRNA from 1 species